GCGGAAGAACAUUAUAGCCGGAGCUACUUCUUUUCUGUUUACGUCUAUGGCGAAUCACACGGUUACCUGGUUAUUCCGCAGCGAACGAGGUAGUAGCCAGACGACUUCUUUCCAGUGGAGGAGCCCAUCUGCUCCACAUCCCAUGGCAGGCAGGAUAUGUUACACCCUGUAAACAACGUGCGCGGAAUUACUUUCAUCUGUCUAUUUUGAAAUGCACACCUGAGUUCUUCUACACACAGAAGAAGGAGCUCACUAAAAGCUGGACACUGGAGGAUUGUGGAUGGAGGAUCAAGAAGCCUGUUCCUGAUGUUUGCGAAGCAUUGUUAUUGCACAUAAGCCCCUUUAAGGUUCCCCAGAGAGUCGCCCACACUGUUCUUCAACUCCUCCUUCCCCGGUUUGAGCUUCUCCUUUAGCCCCGCAAACCCCCCCAGUGGCAUUUCUCCUUCCCUUGCUCUUCCGUCCCUCAAACACGUCUGAGCAGGAUAUCCACUAGGCGCUGGUGCGCAUCCUCUCCUGUGCUGGACUGAGAUGGUCUAGGUGUACUGGAGGGGAGGAGGAGAGAUGCCGAGCCAGAGACGGAACAGAGAGGAAGAAGAGGAGGGACUUUGGUUUGGAUGGUCUGGGUACAAUCCUUCAUGCGGUUUGGGCUGAGAACAUCCAAAAACGAGGCACAAAGUGAGGAAUGGGGCGAAUCCGGUUGUCUUCGGGUCAGUGUAUCGGCAUUGUGAAAGUUAUGCUAGCGUACAUCAAUAAUGGAAACUCCGGAGUUCUCCUCAGCUCCCUCACAGACACUGACAGAAGAUGCCGAACACCUGCCUCUUCUCACCCCUCCCUUCUUGGUCUCGUCCACACGAAAGCAGGCCGAAAAGAGUGUCUAGCAGAGCUCAUUAAAUAUUGACAGCGAAGUCAAGGAUCGCAGGCUCUGGGUUGUAUGAUACGAGCAGGUGUAACAAGACACUGCGUCCUCUGGUCCCAGUCUAACCCUUAUCCCGAGAAACAGCUCCAGGGGUUCAUGGGUCAAACGUAUCAACGUCAACAACCAAACACUGACAUAAAGGUUCAAACUGUGAGGGCCGCUAGUUUAUGCACAAAAGUCAGAUAUGCAAUCCUGAUCUAUUGCUUCUGUAAGGGGAGGACUGCACCUUUUUCCUGUGAAAGUUGCUUUUAUGCAAUAAUCAUCAAAAAUGCAGCGUGCUUUAAAAAUUCAGAUAUUGAGGUCUAAAAAAUUCAUUGUUAGUCUGCACCGCUCUCAGGCUGUGUUUCACUGAUGCUUGCUGUAGGAGUCUCAGUAGUCUGUUUGCCAUGAAUAAAAUCUGGAGCUUCCUCACUAAAGGUCUGCCGUUCAAGUGCAAAGGGUCAUAAAUUACUGAAAGACAGGGGUUAACUUUCUUACACAAUUGAAAUGGACAUAAAUAUGCUUUAUCUACAAAAGGUGAACCAAAACAAUAAUAAAAAUAAUGAAAUAUACCAUUAAAAAAAAUAAUAAGUAUGCAUAGGAACAUCAAUGUCUGCAAGUCUGAACUCCACGCUGCGGUGUUGGAGCAAUUUUAAUGUACAGUACAGACUUAUAUUGGGAAAAAACUGCUCACUUGUAUUGAACAUACUCAUUUUCAAUGAACCAUAUUAUCUUUAUUUACACAUACUGACCUGAACACGCUGUCAUUAUGGUUUUAACAGGUUUCAUAUAUCCUCAUUACAUGACAACACAGUAGGGAUGACCAUGACACAUCGAUUUGGCAAUUUAUUUAUUUUUCACAUUUUUGUAAUAUUUUGCACUUUACAACAAGGUUCAUUAAUGAACAUUAGUUAACAAAAUUAGCUAACAUGAAUAAGAAUGAACAAAUACGGCAUUUAGUAAUAUUAGUUCAUCUCAGCAUUUGCCAAUGCUUUAUAAAAUUGCGAGUUGUGUUCGCUAACAUUAGUUAAUGCAUUGUGAACUAACACGAACUUUCAACGAAUGACUGUAUUUUCAUUAACGUUAACAAAGACAAAAAAAAUUGUAAUGUAUUUUUUACUGUGCAUGUUAGUUAACAUAUUAACUGAUGUUAACAAAUGACACCUUAUUGUAAAGUGUUACUGCAAAACUAUAUAUGAAUUUUAUUAAAUGUUUAUUAAUGACAAAAGGGUAUGUCUAUUACAUAUACCAACUGUUCUUUUCAAGAGAUUAAGCCUUGUGAUUAUUAUUGUUAUUAUCUCUGUAAAAUUAGACUGCACAACUUUA